AGAGUAUUCUCCCAGAGAUUUGGCACACAUGAACUCAUUUGUAGUCCUAGAGGAAUGACUCUCCACAAAACUGUGGCGUAUCUGAUGAGAACUGAUAGGAGAGCAAAAAGUGAAUUUAAAAGGCUUACUGUAAAAUGGGAAUAGACGCACUGAAAGGCAGCCUUGGCUGAGGGAGGCUGUCGAGUGCAGAGACUCAGCGGAGGUUCAGAGAGAGAUUGCGUGCUGACCCUGAGAAGUACCUGGCCUACAAGGAGAAGGAACGACGCAGGAAUCAGCAGAGAAAGGUGUCGAUAUCAGAUCUACCUGAAGAGACCCGCAGACUAAAGAGGGAGGCCUGGAGAGAAGCAUCCAGACGCUGUCGUGCCCGUAAAAUGUCCUCCCUCCAGAUGAACCCCGCCCAGCCCUGCCACCUCCCCCCCGAAGUAACUGGGGGAACUCUGGGAUGCCGUAGGGGCAGGCAGUAGGGUGGCCAUAGAUCAUAUCUGUUAUUUCCUUUGUUGGUUAAAUGGAUAACUUUGGUAUUAAAUUGGAAUGAACCAAUUACUCAGUGAAUUGGUUGAGGUGAACUGUAAUGGAACUGUCAGUAAAAAUAUUUCAGGGG
ensembl:lncRNA